rnacentral:rRNA from 1 species
UAGCAAUACCGCUGACGACCGGCGCACGGGUGAGUAACACGUAUCCAACCUUCCCAUAACUCGGGGAUAGCCUUUCGAAAGAAAGAUUAAUACCCGAUAGUACUUUAUUAAGGCAUCUUAAGAAAGUUAAAGAUUUAUUGGUUAUGGAUGGGGAUGCGUUCCAUUAGAUAGUUGGUGAGGUAACGGCUCACCAAGUCUUCGAUGGAUAGGGGUUCUGAGAGGAAGGUCCCCCACAUUGGUACUGAGACACGGACCAAACUCCUACGGGAGGCAACAGUGAGGAAUAUUGGUCAAUGGGCGAGAGCCUGAACCAGCCAAGUAGCGUGAAGGAUGACAG